GUAUGCUGAACCGGCGGAUGUGACGCAUUCCUAUACGCUCGCAAGAUCAAUUUUUUCUAUGGUCACGAGUAUGACAGGGCGGUUCCAUUUCCUGAGUGUCUCGCGGCGGGGGGUUGCUUUUCCAAUGGAGCCUGGACAGAGCUCGGCUCCGACUUUACUGAUUGUGACGUGUACUAUGACGGAAACUUAAACAGCGAAUUAUUGCACAAGGAUCAGAGUAUAACAUGGGAACAGGAGUUCCCAACCGCCGGUGUGUCUGGACCUACUAGCACACGGGGAACCGGAACUAUCGGAAGUGUAUCAGUUUCUGCCUCUUUAUGCUCAAUGGCCAGUGGUUCAU